rnacentral:rRNA from 1 species
GCGGCGUGCUUAACACAUGCAAGUCGAACGGAAAGGCCCUGCUUUUGUGGGGUGCUCGAGUGGCGAACGGGUGAGUAACACGUGAGUAACCUGCCCUUGACUUUGGGAUAACUUCAGGAAACUGGGGCUAAUACCGGAUAGGAGCUCCUGCUGCAUGGUGGGGGUUGGAAAGUUCCGGCGGUUGGGGAUGGACUCGCGGCUUAUCAGCUUGUUGGUGGGGUAGUGGCUUACCAAGGCUUUGACGGGUAGCCGGCCUGAGAGGGUGACCGGCCACAUUGGGACUGAGAUACGGCCCAGACUCCUACGGGAGGCAGCAGUGGGGAAUAUUGCACAAUGGGCGGAAGCCUGAUGCAGCAACGCCGCGUGCGGGAUGACGGCCUUCGGGUUGUAAACCGCUUUCGCCUGUGACGAAGCGUGAGUGACGGUAAUGGGUAAAGAAGCACCGGCUAACUACGUGCCAGCAGCCGCGGUGAUACGUAGGGUGCGAGCGUUGUCCGGAUUUAUUGGGCGUAAAGGGCUCGUAGGUGGUUGAUCGCGUCGGAAGUGUAAUCUUGGGGCUUAACCCUGAGCGUGCUUUCGAUACGGGUUGACUUGAGGAAGGUAGGGGAGAAUGGAAUUCCUGGUGGAGCGGUGGAAUGCGCAGAUAUCAGGAGGAACACCAGUGGCGAAGGCGGUUCUCUGGGCCUUUCCUGACGCUGAGGAGCGAAAGCGUGGGGAGCGAACAGGCUUAGAUACCCUGGUAGUCCACGCUGUAAACGGUGGGUACUAGGUGUGGGGUCCAUUCCACGGGUUCCGUGCCGUAGCUAACGCUUUAAGUACCCCGCCUGGGGAGUACGGCCGCAAGGCUAAAACUCAAAGGAAUUGACGGGGCCCCGCACAAGCGGCGGAGCAUGCGGAUUAAUUCGAUGCAACGCGUAGAACCUUACCUGGGUUUGACAUGGAUCGGGAGUGCUCAGAGAUGGGUGUGCCUCUUUUGGGGUCGGUUCACAGGUGGUGCAUGGCUGUCGUCAGCUCGUGUCGUGAGAUGUUGGGUUAAGUCCCGCAACGAGCGCAACCCUUGUUCACUGUUGCCAGCACGUUAUGGUGGGGACUCAGUGGAGACCGCCGGGGUCAACUCGGAGGAAGGUGGGGAUGACGUCAAGUCAUCAUGCCCCUUAUGUCCAGGGCUUCACGCAUGCUACAAUGGCUGGUACAGAGAGUGGCGAGCCUGUGAGGGUGAGCGAAUCUCGGAAAGCCGGUCUCAGUUCGGAUUGGGGUCUGCAACUCGACCUCAUGAAGUCGGAGUCGCUAGUAAUCGCAGAUCAGCAACGCUGCGGUGAAUACGUUCCCGGGGCUUGUACACACCGCCCGUCAAGUCAUGAAAGUUGGUAACACCCGAAGCCGGUGGCCUAACCGUUGUGGGGGAGCCGUCGAAGGUGGGACUGGUGAUU